UACGGGGGGGAGCAAGCGUUGUUCGGAUUUACUGGGCGUAAAGGGCGCGUAGGCGGUCGUGACAAGUCACUUGUGAAAUCUCCGGGCUUAACUCGGAACGGUCAAGUGAUACUGUCGGACUAGAGUACAGAAGGGGGCAACUGGAAUUCUCGGUGUAGCGGGUGAAAUGCGUAGAUAUCGAGAGGAACACCUGCGGCGAAGGCGGGUUGCUGGGCUGAGUACUGACGCUGAGGCGCGAAAGCUAGGGGAGCGAACGGG
rnacentral:rRNA from 1 species